CUGUUUGAAAAAUGUCGCACGUCGUACGAGUUGUCGCACGGUUUUGAUUUUACCGUUUCGAUAUCGAUUGGUCGAAAAAACGACAAACGUACGACAAACACUCGACAUGCCCGACAUUGUUUUUUCUAUCGAUUUUCCUUCAAUUUGACGUCACGAUUUUCGUCGACGCAAGAGUUUGACAGUUCUCUUCAGUUGGACUUGUUUGAACAUGAUUGCUGUUGAGCUUCGCAAGGAUUUUGGCCGGUUGAUAGGUUUCCUGAUUUCGGUUAUCGUGGUGGUGGAGGCGAAGGAGGAUGGGAAAUAGAGAUAACCCGGCGGCCAUGCCGGAAGACGGGAUGGGAAGGAACCAAUCUGCGGUCGAGGAAGCGGAUGUUUUAUUUUCCACGGGAGGUUGCGGUGCAUUCCCAAAAGAGAAAAAGGAUUAAAUACCAAGUUCUGGUCAAGGGAACAUAAAUAAGGAAACGGAACUUCCAAUUCCCAGAGAGUUGUUCACUGUUCUGGGUGAAUGAAAAGGCGGAGGAGGACGGAAUAAUACGCUCCCGGUGGCGUUUCUGAUUCGCCAGAAGUUAUUAUCAAUGACAUUCGAAAAUAUUCCUAUCUGAUCCUGCCGAAAGUCUUGCAAAGUGCGCAAACCCACGUUAUCCGUUACUUCAGUGGCCAUCAGUCCAUCGGACAUAAAACAGUGGGGCAGCACCAGGACCGUUUCCAAGUCCAACUUUGAUCAGCAUCUGCGGCAGCAGCGAGGAGCAACAGUCCAUCUUGACCAAGAUGCUGCCCCGCCUGCAUCGGAAGAAGCGACUCGCAACGGCGCUCGAGAAGAUGACUGACGAAUUCCUGCCGAGCAACGAGGAGAACUGGAAGACCAACCGGAAGACGACACCAAGAUGUACGUGAAGAUCCGCGACACAACAAGUAUAAUGAAUUAAUUGAUUUUUUACUCCGGGGAAAAGUGCAAAUUACAUUAAAAACAAAACAAAUUAAAAAUAAACAAAUAUCUAUUUUUUAACUUCAACAUAACCUAAACACCUGAAAAAAAGCACACGACAAAGGCACGACAACCUAAAUAACAAAACCGUGCGACGUCGGUCGAAUGUCGUACGACAAUGUCGAACAAUUUCGAUGAUCGAUCGCACGACAAAUACGACAUUUUGGUGCAAAAACGUAUGACAUUCGUGCGAAUGUCGCACGACAUUGUCGUGUGACGUCGUACAAUUGCAC